UACGGGGGGGGGCAAGCGUUGUUCGGAAUUACUGGGCGUAAAGGGCUCGUAGGCGGCCAACUAAGUCAUACGUGAAAUCCCCCGGCUUAACCGGGGAACUGCGUCUGAUACUGGAUGGCUUGAGUUCGGGAGAGGGAUGCGGAAUUCCAGGUGUAGCGGUGAAAUGCGUAGAUAUCUGGAGGAACACCCCGUGGCGAAGGCGGCUCUCUGGGGACGGUACUGACGCUAGACGCGAAAAGCGUGGGGGAGCGAACAGG
rnacentral:rRNA from 1 species